rnacentral:rRNA from 1 species
UACGAAGGGGGCUAGCGUUGUUCGGAAUCACUGGGCAUAAAGGGCGCGUAGGCGGCGAUUCAAGUCAGGGGUGAAAUCCGGCAGCUCAACUGUCGAAGUGCCUUUGAUACUGAAUUGCUCGAGGGAGGUAGGGGUCUGUGGAACUUCUGGUGGAGCGGUGAAAUGCGUUGAUAUCAGAAGGAACGCCGGUGGCGAAAGCGACGGACUGGACCUUUUCUGACGCUGAGGCGCGAAAGCUAGGGGAGCAAACGGG